rnacentral:rRNA from 1 species
UUCCACCUGAGGAGCGGCUUAGACAGUAUCAGCUUGUUGGUGAGGUAACGGCUCACCAAGGCUACGACGCUUAGGGGGUGUGAGAGCAUGGCCCCCACCACUGGCACUGAGACACUGGCCAGACACCUACGGGUGGCUGCAGUCGAGAAUCUUCGGCAAUGGACGCAAGUCUGACCGAGCGACGCCGCGUGCGGGAUGAAGGCCUUCGGGUUGUAAACCGCUGUCAGAGGGGAUGAAGUGUACGGGGGUACUCCCCUGUACUUGACAGAGCCUCAGAGGAAGCACGGGCUAAGUUCGUGCCAGCAGCCGCGGUAAUACGAACUGUGCGAACGUUAUUCGGAAUCACUGGGCUUAAAGGGUGCGUAGGCGGUUAUCUAAGUCAGGUGUGAAAUCUCUCGGCUCAACCGGGAAACUGCGCUUGAAACUGGGUGACUGGAGGGAUGCAGGGGUGUGUGGGACUUCCGGUGGAGCGGUGAAAUGUGUAGAUAUCGGAAGGAACGCCAGCAGCGAAAGCGGCACACUGGGCAUUUACUGACGCUGAGGCACGAAAGCUAGGGGAGUGGACGGGAUUAGAU